UUGGGGGAAAGGGGAGAGGAGAUCUCAAACCCUCACAACCUUUAAUCCACCAUAACUCCUCCGUCCAGGCUCCGAUCGCCGCACCGUUCGCGGCCACGCACUCAACGCGUUGAGCUCUACCUUUCUAUCUGAUCAAUUUCACUGGUGUAGAUUAAGUGGGUAUAUAUGCUUUGGAAUUGAAUUGGGAGUAUUUGGAGGCUUGUUGGGGAUCAAAGCUUGGUUUGUGGCUGUUUUAAUUGAGCUUGGAGGGGCUGUGUUUUGUGUUGUGAGGCUGCCUUGGAUGAAGCUAAGUGAUCGGUCAAGAUGCAAGUCAAGAGGCUCCUCGCUAGGCGUCUGGAUCCCCGAAGCGAAAUAGUUCUUGGGUGUAUUUUGGUUUCUGUUUGUAUAUAUGUACAAAUGUAACUAGCUUACUCUCCAAGUAACUUGUGUAUGUUACUCCUCUUAGAGGUUGAAGGAGAGAUAGGAUUUA